UUCACCGUGUUAGCCAGGAGGGUCUCGAUCUCCUGACCUCGUGAUCCGCCUGCCUCGGCCUCCCAAAGUGCUGGGAUUACAGGCUUGAGCCACCGCGCCCGGCCUAGAAUGCUUUUUAAAUGAAUACGCUGUGAUUGUAAUAUUUCUUCUUGGGGGCCGGGGAGAGUGCUGAGAGAUGCAGCUGUGUCUCUGCUGUCUGCAGUCUUGGGCAGGCAGCACCGUUGUCUCCUGAUACAGAGGGUUGAAUGCACUGCUUCACAGUGAUGCCACAUUUUCAAACCUAAACAUGAUUAACAUGUUUUAAGUAUUUAUCAAAUAAUUCACACUUUUGCAUAUUUAAAUGCUAUUUUUUAGAUAUUAAACACAUUCCUAGUUUUUUUCUUUUUAACCACUGGAGACUGCCAAUGUUAAGAUCUUGUGUUAUAUGAAAUUCUUCUAAAUUAAUUUCCUUUUACUUUUUGUGUUGCAUAUUUUCCAGUGGGGAUAAAUUGGAGGUUCUUAUUACUAAUAAUCCUGAAACUGAAAUUUGCUUUUCCUGCAUAGUCAUCUUUUGUUCAGUCCAUUUGAGUUUUGUUGCCAUCCAGUUUCAUAAUCAUGUUGUGUUUAUCUAAUAGACAAUGAGGUACUGCUUGAGUGAUACGAAAUUCUCUAGUAAAAAAUUCUCUGAAGAUGUGCGAAGUUCUGUUGCAUUACUUGGCACCAGGAAUGUCACAAAGAUGCUGUUGCCAGCAUAUUGCUAAUGUAGCCUUUAAGCUUCAGGGACCCCUGUAGUGUGUUGAGUUUGGAGCAUUAAUAGCAGGCUCACAGAAUAUAGUACCAAUAUGCCAAGUUAAAUAAUUGAGAAUAUAUACAAUAAAUUAUAAUUUGCUAUAUAUAAUAGACCUCAUUUCAUUUACAGUACAUCUUACAGUUGGGAUUAAUUCACCUAUAACCCCUGUGAACUGCGAGUGCUCGGCAGAAGCAGGCCCGUGUCUCGUUGAAUGUCUACAUUUAUAUUUAUAUUUAUUUUUUUGAGACAGAGUCUCAGUCUGUCACCCAGGCUACAGUGCAGUGGCAUGAUCAUAGCUCACUUGCAGUCUUCAACUCCUGGCUCAAGUGAUCCUGCCACCUUAGCAUGCUGAGUAGCUAGGACUGCAGGUACAUACCACCAUGGCUGGCUAAAUGCAUGUCUGCAUUGAUGCAAGGUGUGUUGACAGGGUGGGGAGGGAGCUGGGACUGAGAUUUGCCUCUGUAAAAUGCACAAAAAGGGCUUCCUAAGCAAAUUGAUAUUUGAAAUGAAAGAUGGAUUAAGUGAGAGACUUAGUUUAUUCAGGAAUAAGAGCAAAACUAACCACAUCAAAAAAUGUAUUUUACUGAGACAGCUUUUUGUGCAUACAACAGGGUGCUGUUUACAGAUUUCAAGAAGGAGAAAAAGAAUGCUUAUAUUGAGAUUACCUACCUCCCAGUAGUGAAAAUAAUAAAUUAUCCUUUAAAAUAUAAUCGUAUGUUUGUCACAGAAUCUACACUUACUUACAAGUGCUUUAUGCUCAGGAUGAAAUGGAGAUCCUGGCUCUCUUGUUUCAAUGAUCUUAGAAGAUAAUUCCAGGAAUUUUAAAGAUCUUAAUGGUAUGAGCAGAAAAGGUGUUUGAAGAAAAGAAGGAAAUUGUGUGUUUGACACAUUGGGCUUCUUUCUGUGUUGUUAGUGUUGGGUUUGGGUCAUUCAGGAUUUCUUAACUAAUUCAGACGUAAAUCAGGCUACUGUAGAAGAUAGUAGUUGGAAUGGACAGAAGAUGAUUUUUAGCCAAUGAGGCAAAAAAAGUCAUCUUUCCUGCUUUUUCUAAAAUGAUAUGUUGAGAAGACGUUUUUAUGAGAUAUGCAUUUCUGAAUUAAAGGAUUCCUUCUGAAAAUACAACUUGUUAGGUAAUGUGAACAUAUUUUUUCUGUUGGCCAAAGUUCAUUUUUUGAAGUGGGGGCCUCAUUUAUUUUUGAUUUUCAGAAUUGAGUCUCUAUAAGGCCUAAAAUAAAAUAUAUUAAAUGUUAUCAGAGUUGUUUGCGCCUGUUUAAAUAUCUUUUUUUGCAAGUCACUUAUAUUUCUUGGUACUGAAAGCUUACUACUCAAUUGUCCUUAUGAGCAUUAAGGUCACACAGUGCGUCAGAUCAUACUGGCCCAGAUGCCUGAGAGGCACAUGUGCACUCGGGGAAGUGGGAGCCUCUUCACUGCCUGCCUUGGAAUUCAACCACCUGAGCCAGAAUCUACAGAACCAGAGGAGGCGGAUGGGCCAGUGUCAGCAGAGGGAAUGCAGAACAAGAAGGCUCGCUAGCAGAAGAGGCUGCCCAAGGGCCCUGGGUGCAUCCAGGGCUGCUUCAGGAUGGAGCUAGGCAAGUGGAGAGAAUGUAGAGACGGGGCUUCACCGUGUUAACCAAGAUGGUCUCAAUCUCCUGACCUCGUGAUCUGCCCGCCUCAGCCUCCCAAAGUGCUGGGAUUACAGGCGUGAGCCACCGCGCCCGGCCUAGAAGGUGAAAGUUUUAGCGGUAACAGCCGUGGUUCACGAGGAGCCCCACGUCAGGCCCUAUGGUGUGCACAUUCCUUGGGUCUUCACAGCUGUCCUGCCGGGUCUUUUGCUGAAGCCUUCUGAGCUUGCUCAGUCUACAGCCAGGGUGGCUGGGAAGACGAACCUGGAAGGGCACUCCGCAGCAGUGGGCAGGGGAGAUGUCCCAGCCUCCUGUCCUUCAGAGGCACGGCCUGCGCGGUGUCUCGAACGUGGCUGGGCCCCGGGCCCGCAGUGGGAGCAGCUCAGCAUGCACCUUUUGUUGUCUUUUCUCGCCUCUCAUUGGCCUGUUUCCUCUGCUACCAGCUCCCACACCGUUGGCUCUGAGACAGCUUCCAAAGUGACAGCUGGUGCAGCCUCCCAGGGACAGCGGGGGCAGGGGAGCCCUCUGUGUCCACGGUGACAAGCCAGUCCCAGGUUUCACUGCAUUUGCUGCUUAUGGUCUGCAUGAGCAGGGAUCCCAAGCCUGGAUUCCCCUCAUUCCUUCUGUGCAGAGCUGUCUCCAGGAACAAAGUUGGCAUAGUGUUAGCGUUAGCAAAUUUAGGGGGUAUCUUUAAUAUUUCUCUAAUGGUCUGCUGAGUUCAGAGAUGACAGAAUUUAUUCCACAGUGUGGUGUGGUUUAUUAGUGACUAUUUGCUGUUUGACAGGAAAGAAACUUUGCAUUGCUGUCUUCCUUCUUAGAGCUCUCUUCAAAUCCCCUUUCCAAAAUAAUCUUAAAGAAUUCAAAUCAGAAUCUAAAACGGAUGUACCGUUUGAAUGUGGGCCCAUACCCAGAUUUGGGGCCCAUACCAUUUUGAAUGGUAUUUUCAAAAUUUCAGUUUCCAUUUGCUCAUUAUAGGUACAUAGAAAUGCAAAAAUAAAUUGCAUAUCCUGCAACCAUGCUAGAUCCACCUUAGCAGUUUGGUGGAUUGUGUGGGGUUUUGUGCACACACUCUCAUCAUCUGUGAACCCCAUAUUCUUAUUUAGAGCACAGAGGUAAUACCAUCUGGUCUCUCGGUGUAGGAAAUUUAGAGCCUUUCUGUUGUUACGUUACCACUGACUGGAGACCUCCGACGGCAAAGAAUUUAAAACGCACACCGAGGAGGUCUGUUCCGUUGUGGAAGAGUUGCCAUUGUUAGGAAUCUUGUUCAUAUUUUGGCUGCGCAUUUUGGUUCUGUGUGGCAGCCACCCAAAGACUUCGAGGCAUCUGGAAAGUCCUCCGUGGGCGCCUCCAGCAGGGUGAGCAGUUUCCCUGGGGACUCCUUGCAUGAGGGGCCCUGAUGACUUGUGUGGAACCCAGCAUUGGGAAAGGAAUCAUGAUGUGACCAGAAUUGCUUCUAGUACAAUAUGAAGUAGUGAGUUUUGAAAAGUCAGAGUGACUACGAGCUGAAUGGGAGGUUUAGAUAGGGAGCCAUAAGAAGUGUUCCUUUGAGACAGGUCUUAAAACACACGGCAUUUCCCCCAUGCAUGUACUUUGUUGCUGAAAGAUAAAGACAAAACAAAAACCCAAGGGACAAAUGUAUGCCGCUGAUUAUUUUUAAUGAUUUUGUGCUAUGGUUUGACCACAGCAUUAAGAACAAGCAGAAAAAUCUGAUUUCAUAACUAACAAACAGCACUUAGAGCAACAUCUUUCUUUAAAAGUAUUGCAAUUACAGACCUUAGGUCUAAGAACUACAUCACCAUUGCUCAGGUAAAAGAGGCAGAUACGUGACAGGUGGAAAUUAUUUUCUGUAUGUAACUGGGAAUUAUGUUGAAAAGUAAGCACAAAUGUUUGCUAAAAGAAACUUUAAUGACUUUUGAUUAUCAUAGCUCACAACCAACUAUUGAAAAGUUCAAAUACAGUUGUACUUUUUUUAGUAGAUUGCUUUAUAAUAAAAAUUAAAUGAACUAAAUGCUGUGAAUAGUAUUGUACAUAUUUUAAAAGAGCCUUAAACUAGACAAGUAUACAAGUAGCAUGAUUUUUGAAAGCUAUGAAAUGAAAAAUAGCAACAUACCAACGAGCACAUUCAAAUGAACCAGUAUCAUUAACAGUCAAGUUUAAGCCUCAAUUCGUCCUGUAGAAAGGAAGCAAUGAUGUGGUCACAAAUUUUAGUACCUCUGAGUCUAGAACAUUCUCAUGCUCAACAGUUCUCCUGGGUCCAAGGUUGAACCUGGGGGGUAGGAGCUUUGUUUCUGACAGUAACGAGCCUCAGUUCUUAAUGCUGAAUCCCAAGGGGUGCACCCUACAGUAUAUGAUGGAACCAACACACAGGUCUGGACACGCGGGAUUCAUACCACCAUGAGUGUCAACUUUUCACGGCCCUUUCAGACAGAUACUAAAAGGGCUGACUUUUAAUCCAUUCAGCAUUAGGAGUUGCCUUGUAGAGUCCAUUUCAGUUUCAGGAUAAGCGGUCAUUUGUUUCUUGGAAGUUAGGGGUAUGAUUCUAUUGUGAUUUUCAAAGAACAUACACCAUGGAGCAAAUAAAAACUUUGGAAUUUAUUAGACUCCACUUUGGUGGCAGAAUAAGCUGAUAAUAUGGGUCAGACGGGCCAAAUUCCACCAACUGCUCUUACGGGACAGCACUCGAAAGGACACCCACACCCAAGAUUCAACCGUGGUUUUAAUGAACACGGUGUUAUGCACGUCUCUCGUUCUUUCUUUUUAAAAUUAGGGUAUUUGAAGAUAAAUGCAGAGGUCACAAUCAGACACUAAAAACUAAGCUGGAAGAGAGAUGUAACACUAUACAAUUCAAAACGUAAUUUCUAACUGAUGGCAAAACCGAGUUUGCUUUUGGGGUCAGGAUUAUGAUGGGACAUGAAUGGAAUGGAUGAGAGGGCCUUCACUUGGCUGGCUGACAGCCAAGUCUCUUCUAGUGCUAACCCAUAACGAAACGCUUUUUCUAAGAACAGGGUCUUCUUGUAAGUGGGUUUGUUUUUCCUGAGGUAUUCUUUCCCUACAAUCUCUACUGUUACUUCAUUGGCUCCACAGCUUCAGUUUGUAAAAGAAAAAGGCACAGAGAGACUUGGACACAGAUGUUCACAGAUGCCUCUGGAGCUGAACAGAGUCCUCUGCUGCAGGCUGAUUUCCUUAUUCCUCUGGCACAGUUUCUGCAAUAUUAACAACAAAAUGUGCACUUUUCACUAAGGCCUGACACCUUCAUGAUGCUGCAGCAGGAGACAGAUGCAGGAGGUUAUAAAGCAAGAUGAAAAACAACAUUGUGCUGACUCAAAUAUAAGUAACACUGGUCCAGCUGAGCAUUACUAAAUGAUUCAAAUAAGAAGCGUCUAGUGGCAACCAAAACGCUGUGGGAUUUUUUAAAACGUAUUUUCUUUAAAGUGUUUUCACAGCAAAGAUGCAACUUUCCAUUGCUAUAUAUACGCUGGUCAUAAACUGUUGCUUGUUUGUUCACACUUCUUUCUCGUGUUAUAAUAUUGAUAUUUAAUAGGAAAAUAAACUACAUAGACUUUAA